rnacentral:Y_RNA from 1 species
GGUUAGUCUGAGUGCAGUGGUGUUUACAACUAAUUGAUCACAACCAGUUACAGAUUCCUUUGUUCCUUCUCCACUCCCACUGCUUCACUUUACCAGACCAGUA